GAUGAACGCUGACAGAAUGCUUAACACAUGCAAGUCAACUGUGGCGGACGGGUGAGUAACGCGUAAAGAACUUGCCUCACAGCUAGGGACAACAUUUGGAAACGAAUGCUAAUAGCUGAUACUGUGAGAGAGCUUUGCGUCCCAUUAGCGAGGUGGAGAGGUAACGGCUCACCAAGGCGAUGAUGGGUAGCGGGCCUGAGAGGGUGCUCGGCGACAAGGGGACGGAUACACGGCGAGUACUCCUACGGGAGGCUGCAGUGGGGAAGUAUGGACAAAUGACCAAAGUCUGGUGCAGCAAUUAUGUGUGCACGAUGAAGUUUUCGGAGUGUAAGGUGAUUUCAGUUUGGUAGCGGUACCUACAGAAGAAGUGACGGCUAAAUACGUGCCAGCAGCCGCGGUAAUAC
rnacentral:rRNA from 1 species